rnacentral:rRNA from 1 species
UGCAAGUCGAGCGGUACAUUUCUAGCUUGCUAGAAGAUGACGAGCGGCGGACGGGUGAGUAAUGCUUGGGAAUAUGCCUUAGGGUGGGGGACAACAGUUGGAAACGACUGCUAAUACCGCAUAACGUCUACGGACCAAAGGGGGCUUCGGCUCUCGCCCUUAGAUUAGCCCAAGUGGGAUUAGCUAGUUGGUGAGGUAAUGGCUCACCAAGGCGACGAUCCCUAGCUGGUUUGAGAGGAUGAUCAGCCACACUGGAACUGAGACACGGUCCAGACUCCUACGGGAGGCAGCAGUGGGGAAUAUUGCACAAUGGGCGCAAGCCUGAUGCAGCCAUGCCGCGUGUGUGAAGAAGGCCUUAGGGUUGUAAAGCACUUUCAGUAAGGAGGAAAGGUUAGUAGUUAAUACCUGCUAGCUGUGACGUUACUUACAGAAGAAGCACCGGCUAACUCCGUGCCAGCAGCCGCGGUAAUACGGAGGGUGCGAGCGUUAAUCGGAAUUACUGGGCGUAAAGCGUACGCAGGCGGUUUGUUAAGCGAGAUGUGAAAGCCCCGGGCUCAACCUGGGAACUGCAUUUCGAACUGGCAAACUAGAGUAUGAUAGAGGGUGGUAGAAUUUCAGGUGUAGCGGUGAAAUGCGUAGAGAUCUGAAGGAAUACCGAUGGCGAAAGGCAGCCACCUGGGUCAAUACUGACGCUCAUGUACGAAAGCGUGGGGAG